AUGACCAAGGUUAAAUUUAUUGUGACAGAUGGGCAGAUUGAUAAACAAAUGAGAUUUAAUGUACCCUACCUUUAGCAAAAAUGGGGACAAUAAAUGUCUUUGCUGUUCUUGAGAAGAAGAUUUAUGUUGGAACAAGAUGUGUUUUGGUUCUUAAGAAGUUAAUGUGAAAAGUUUGCAGAUAAACAGAUGGACAACAGAAAUCAGUACAUUUCAGAAAAAAGUAUGCUUAUAAAUAGUUAAUCAAGGUGCUUUGGGUAGCAAAAUAAAGCUAAACUGGUAUAUCUAAUUCAUCCGCAGAGCUUAGUAUAUUUUAAUUUGCACAACCUUUUCAACUCUUAUCAUAAUUAUUUUUUAAAAUUUAUAUCACCAUGUCUCAUUCAAGGGAGAACUAGAGAUAUGACCAGAUGUAUAUCUGUUGAAUAUAAAAUAUGUACAUGUA